rnacentral:rRNA from 1 species
GUAGCCGUAAACACUAUUAAGUUUUAAACAAGCUUAAUCGCCAGAGAACUACUAGCCAUAGCUUAAAACUCAAAGGACUUGGCGGUGCUUUAUAUCCAUCUAGAGGAGCCUGUUCUAUAAUCGAUAAACCCCGCUGUACCUCACCAUUUCUUGCUAAUUCAGUCUAUAUACCGCCAUCCUCAGCAAACCCUGAAAAGGAAGACAAGUAAGCCCGAUUAUAUGACAUAAAAAAGUUAGGUCAAGGUGUAGCUAAUGAAAUGGGAUGAAAUGGGCUACAUUCUCUAAUCUAGAUUACACGAAACCCUACUUGAAAAACUAGGGUAAAGGAGGAUUUAGUAGUAAAUUAAAAUUAGAGUGUUUAAUUGAAUUGAGCAAUGAAGCACGCAC